AGUGUAAAUAGUUAUACUAAAACUGUUUUUCAAGGUAUCAUGCAUCCAUAUCUUCUCAUGGCUUAAUGUGCUCAGGGCACAAGACUCAUCUACACCCUAACAGAACAUCAUUAACCUUGACCCCAACCCAUUUCUAGCACUGCCAUUACCUACCAAGAGACAGGGAGUUUCUCAUCUUUUCCCACAUUCAGAGGAAAUGAACAAAAAGCUGAAAAUUUUUUCCCACAAGUAAAACCUAACAAUGUUUAGGGGUCAUUUGAAUUUGUUUACAUUUUAAAAUAUCAUUGUGGGAUUGGGAGUGUACCUCAGUGGCAUAGCACUUGCCUAGCAGGCACAGUGCCAUGGGUUCAAUCCCCAGCACAGUACAAGUAAAUACAUUAAUUAAUAAAACAAAACAAAAAGACAUCAUAGUUGAGAAAGUAUGAGAUAGUCUUUACUGGGAAAUGUAGAGAUGAGAAUUCCUUGCUGUUGGUUCAUUAGAUGUUCUACUCAGUAACUCAACCAUGAAAAGGUAGAGAAGGACUUGAAAACAAAUUGCAAUCCGAAAAACUUCACAGACAAAGUUUCAAAGUUAACUAUUUAAAAAUGUUUGCUUUCAAAUUUAUUUCUCUACCUUCCUAUUACAAUUAUGUCUAUGAGAAGUUUUUAGAUUUCUAAAGUUUUCGGUUUAUUACUUUUUUUGCAGGAAGUCCUGUCACACCUGCCUCUGCUUCCAUGUAACAAAGUUCCGGAGCUACUGAGUGUGGGGGAAAUUAUGCAAAAAAAGACAUUGUAAUUAGCAUUGCAAUUUUAUGGAAUAUUCAUUUGCUUUUAUAGUAAAGUAUCAGUUGGACUUUGACUAAGCAUCUCUCUGAGUUUAACCACAAGUCAACUCACUUUGAGUUUCACCCACCAGAAAGAAAUAUACCUCUCAGUUAAAGGGGCGACAUCAUGGACACUGAAGGCUUGGCAAUUAAUGACUCAAAAUCAUCCUCCCAGGAAAUGAUGACUUCUGAUAUGGACCUCACUUCUACUUGUGUGUGAAGAACUGCCUCUGGGGUAAACAACUUAUCAUCAGCCUUCUGUCCUCUAAAAACAAACAAGAGUCCCUAAUGGAAAGCAUGAAAGUGAUAUGGACCUGUGACUAGGGAUAAGAAGAGGGCCAUCCUGGAUCUAACAGUGACUUCUGUGCAACCUUGAGAAAGUCCCUGUUAUCUACUUUCAGUUACUUCAUGUGUGAAGUAGUAUUUUGCUCUGCAUACAUUGUGACCUCUUCAAGUACUAAAAAUCCCAGAGUCUGUAAUUAAAGACAUUUGGAUAGUUGUUAGAGGUACCAACUUCAAAUUUGUUAGCAUAAGUCCCUUCAAACAAAAUGUUCAGUACAGCCUAAUAUCUCAUUAAAAAUGUAUUUCUCCAUUGA